rnacentral:rRNA from 1 species
UCCUACGGGAUGCAGCAGUGGGGUACCUUCGGGAGGUAGCAGUGAGGGAUAUUGCGCAAUGGGGGAAACCCAGAAGCACCGACGCCGCGUGGGUGAUGAAGGCCUUCGGGUCGUAAAACCCUUUUAACAUUGACGAGGAAUGAACGUUCCUUCUAAAAAAGCCCCAAAAAA